GAAUAAGGUUUUUGCGUAGGCGUUGUGCACAGUUAAAUAGAUAUUGUGUAUUCCCCCUAAGCAUCAAAUUUUAUU
rfam:Lottia gigantea unplaced genomic scaffold LOTGIsca_16, whole genome shotgun sequence.